rnacentral:tRNA from 1 species
GGUGCUACGCCGGGGAUGAUCGGGCUAGAUUGAUGUUCUAGGAUUCGGGGUGUUGUGUAAGCCUCUGGCAUUUC